rnacentral:lncRNA from 1 species
GAUAGGGUUAAACAUGACGUUUCAGUAUUCAUUCUGAACUGUUAAGUUAAGGGUUAAGGUUUGGGAUAGGGUUAAACAUUACGUUUCAGUAUUCAUUCUGAACUGUUAAGUUAAGGGUUAAGGUUUGGGAUAGGGUUAAACAUUACGUUUCAGUAUUCAUUCUGAACUGUUAAGUUAAGGGUUAAGGUUUGGGAUAGGGUUAAACAACAAAGAAGAAAAUGACUGUCUACUGGGUUGAGCACACAACCUUCGGACCCAUCCACCAGCCCUGUCCAGCCUAGAAAAGCCCAAGCUCAAUUUUGAGUGAUCUGCCUGACUUUGCCAACCUAGCACCCCAGUCUAAUUUAGGCUAAAGAAAA